AUCAACGCUGGCGGCGUGCCUAACACAUGCAAGUCGAACGAGAAAGUGGAGCAAUCCAUGAGUACAGUGGCGACCGGGUGAGUAACACGUGACCAACCUGCCCUCGAGUGGGGAAUAACUCCGGGAAACCGGAGCUAAUACCGCAUAACAUCUUCGGAGUGCGAACUCUGUUGAUCAAAGCAGCAAUGCGCUUGAGGAGGGGGGGUCGCGGCUGAUUAGCUAGUUGGCGGGGUAACGGCCCCACCAAGGCGAAGAUCGGUAUCCGGCCUGAGAGGGGCGCACGGACACACUGGAACUGAAACACGGUCCAGACUCCUACGGGAGGCAGCAGUGGGGAAUUUUUGCGCAAUGGGGGAAACCCUGACGCAGCAAACGCCGCGUGGAGGAUGAAGUCCCUUGGGACGUAAACUCCUUUCGACCCGGACGAUACUGACGGUACGGGUGGAAGAAGCACCGGCUAACUCUGUGCCAGCAGCCGCGGUAAUACAGAGGGUGCGAGCGUUGUUCGGAAAUUAUUGGGCGUAAAGGGGCGCGUAGGCGGUGCGGUAAGUCACCUGUUGAAAUCCUCCUGAGCUUAAACUCGGGGCUUGCAGGCGCCAGAAGACUGCCUUGCCUAGAGUGUGGGAGAGGUAGAGUGGAAUUCCCGGUUGUAGCGGUGAAAAUGCGUAGAUAUCGGGAGGAACACCCGUGGCGAAGGCGGCUCUCUGGACCACGACUGACGCUGAGGCGCGAAAGCUGGGGGAGCAAACAGGAUUAGAUACCCUGGUAGUCCCGGGCCCUAAACGAUGAACACUUGGCGUGAACGGGUCUCAACCCCCCGUCGUGCCGGAGCUAAACGCGUUAAGUGUUCCGCCUGGGGAGUACGGGUCGCAAGGCUGAAAACUCAAAAGGAAUUGACGGGGGGCCCCGCACAAGCGGUGGAGCAUGUGGUUUCAAUUCGACGCAAACGCGAAGAAACCUUACCUGGGCUCGAAGCGCAGUGGGAAUCCGGAUGAAAGUUCGGCGCCCCGCAAGGGCCGCUGCGGAGGUGCUGCAUGGCUGUCGUCAGCUCGUGUCGUGAGAUGUUGGGUUUAAGUCCCGCAACGAGCGCAACCCUUAUCCUUAGUUUGCUACUUCGCAAGAGGCACUCGAAGGAAACUGUCGGUCAAAAGCCGAAGGAAAGGUGGGGAUGGACGUCAAGUUCCUCAUGGCCUUUAUGUCCAGGGCCACACACCGUGCUACAAAUGGGGCGGUACAAAAGCGUCGCAAACCCGCGAGGGGAAGCCAAUCGCAAAAAAAACCGCUCUCAGUUCGGAUUGCAGUCUGCAACUCGAACUUGCAUGAAGCUGGGAAUCGCUAGUAAUCGCGGAUCAGAAACGCCGCGGUGAAUACGUUUCCCGGGCCUUGUACACACCGCCCGUCACAUCACGAAAGCAGGUUGCACUAGAAGUCGCUGAGCUAACCGCAAGGAUGCCGGCGCCCAAGGUGUGGCUUGUGAUUGGGGGU
rnacentral:rRNA from 1 species